ensembl:lncRNA
AAUAAGAAACAAGCUGUACCUUCAGGGUUAUGUCUUUAUUUCCUUUGUGGUAGGGUUUUCCUUUUUUGGGGGGUUGUUUUCUCUGAGACUAAAAGAGUCAUAUAUGGAAGCCUGUUUCCACCACGGAAUGACUGAAAGGUAAUUGCGACUUUUUUUAAACUCACAAUUCACACUUUUUUAUCAGAAUUCAGAUGCAUGAACUCAGCAUUGUGAGACACAAACUCGCAAUUCUGAGAAAAAAGUAAGAAUUGCCAGAUAUAAACUAAAAAUUCUGACUUUAUUUCUUGCAAUUUAGAGUUUACAUCAUGCAACUGUGAGUUUACAUUCCAGAAGUCGUAUUUUUUUCCUCAGAAUUCUGAGUUUACAUCUGCAAUUCUGACUUUUGAACCACUGAUGUCACAUGGACUAUUUACCUUUCUGGGCCUUGAACGUGUCAGUUGUGUUGCUUUCUGUGCAAGGUCAGAAAGCUCUUGGAUUUCAUUUUUGUGUGAACUAUCCCUUGAAUGCAUAUGCAUAUUUACAUGCUAUCUGUGCCACAUCAUAAAGUUGUGAGUCAUUCAAUGCUCUUUUUAGACUGGGGGAAAAUACAAGGGACAUUUGACUCCUCAUGAUAUGACCUUUAAAAGACCUUUUAUUAAGGGAGUAAGUCCUUUCACAGUGACCUUUAGGCUUACCUGAUGUCUACGUUAUCACAUUUUGCAUACCAGCUUUGAGUCCCACAAGCCGUACAUACAGCAGGCCCUGAGGAGAGUGAAGGGAAGGCAUACGAAAGGAUUCCAGGAGACAGAUUAUUCAAUUAUGGAGAUGUCAGAAAGGCCUGCCAGUCAGUGUGGAAGCAGAGCAGAUGCCGAUAACAGCAUGUCAUGAUGUGUAUCAUAAAAUAUGCCAGUCAAGAGCAGAAAACAGAGCGGUUUGAGGGAAAAAUACCGUGCAGGUAUACAUGUUUACAGACAACUUCCAUCUCCUCAAGUGAACUGGGAUGGGCGCAUCAUGAUCUGCAACUUCAGCUUGCACAAAAGAGAUUUGUCAUAGACAAGUUUUGAUUCAAGCUUUGUCUAUGCGAUUCAGUAGUGAGAGAGCAAACAAAUGCGAAUCCACCAUUUCGCAAUCGCGUUCAACCAAUUCACCGAAAAGAGAGAAUCUCACUCAAAAGAAUGAGUAAAUCAUGAAUGAUUGCUGUUUCAUUCGAGAGAAAUAUGGGACACAAAUAAUUACUGCUGAAAUAUAUGCAGGGAAACUCAGUUUAGUCAGAGCGAUCAUGGUACGCACAGUGCGUGCAGCUGUACACCUGCAGGCGCCACUGGAACAGACAGUAGUACAAAUGACAAUUUUUUCCACCUAGAUGUGAAAAUACUAAAUAUUAUAUUAAAUUAUAAUGUUAUAUAUAUAAAAUCUGCAGUACAUAUUUAAAUACAAGGAAUACAUUCUUGAAAUAUAUUUGAUUUAGUUAACAGAUUAAUAAGCUGACAUGUAUUUG